AUGGAGACAGAUGAAGGAAGUGGUUCUGCAGAUCCGGUGGACAGGCUCCUGGAGCGGCUUCACCUCCAUGAAGAAGAAGAUGAGGGUUUCGCGUGGGAGGAACUGGCGGAGCCGCCGGCGAAGGUCAAGUGGCUGGCGGUGGCGAAAGUGCACACGUCUAGGGGCUUUAGCCCGAGCGCCUUGUUUGCAGACAUGAGAUCUGCUUGGAAUCCUGCAAAGGAGGUGAUCUGGAGAAGUGUUGAUGAUAAUCUGUUCACAGUGCAAUUCGGCUGUCUGGGAGAUUGGAAUAAGGCGAUGACGAUGGGGCCGUGGUUUUUCCACGAUCACGCUUUGAUGAUGGAGGAAUAUGACGGGUUCGCUAACCCUAGAUCGCUGGUCUUGAAAAAGAUCACAGUUUGGGCUCAGGUGCACAAGUUACCGGACAAUUACCUUCAUGAACAGGUUGUGAGGGGGAUGUGCAGGCCCAUGGGAGAGAUUAAAGAUGUUCAGAUCAAGAUCCCAGCGGGUUUCGUGGGCAAAUUCGUCAGAGUAACGGUCAGUAUGAGGGUGGAUAAGAAGAUCACACGUUUUGUGUCUAUAACAAAGGAUGAGAAGGAGUGGUACCAAGUUAAAUAUGAAAAACUGCCUACGUUAUGUGGUUUCUGUGGUCUAAUGGGACACUGGCAUGAAGAGUGCAGCAAUGGGGAGCAUGACGAGGAUACCCUGGAGUGGGGAGAUUUUAUAUUGGCAGAUGGAGGACGCGGGAGAGGAAGAGGAAGGGGUGGAGGCUAA
rnacentral:rRNA from 1 species